rnacentral:misc_RNA from 1 species
AAGUCGUAACAAGGUAUCCGUAGGUGAACCUGCGGAUGGAUCAUUAAACAUAUCCAUGUAUCAACCAAAUCGUGCAUCUGUUUCGACGAGAUUCAGGCUGAACGUCUUUAGGUCUGGGUCAAUGAGUCGUACCAUUUUACUUCUAUAACUAGAAUUCCUUUUUCUUUGGUGCGGCAGAAAUGCGGCCUUUCUUAAUUGUAAGAAAUCUUGUACAACUCUUAACGAUGGAUACCUAGGCUCUC